rnacentral:rRNA from 1 species
AUUGAACGCUGGCGGCAGGCCUAACACAUGCAAGUCGAGCGGAUGAAGGGAGCUUGCUCCUGGAUUCAGCGGCGGACGGGUGAGUAAUGCCUAGGAAUCUGCCUGGUAGUGGGGGAUAACGUCCGGAAACGGGCGCUAAUACCGCAUACGUCCUGAGGGAGAAAGUGGGGGAUCUUCGGACCUCACGCUAUCAGAUGAGCCUAGGUCGGAUUAGCUAGUUGGUGGGGUAAAGGCCUACCAAGGCGACGAUCCGUAACUGGUCUGAGAGGAUGAUCAGUCACACUGGAACUGAGACACGGUCCAGACUCCUACGGGAGGCAGCAGUGGGGAAUAUUGGGCAAUGGGCGAAAGCCUGACCCAGCCAUGCCGCGUGUGUGAAGAAGGUCUUCGGAUUGUAAAGCACUUUAAGUUGGGAGGAAGGGCAGUAAGUUAAUACCUUGCUGUUUUGACGUUACCAACAGAAUAAGCACCGGCUAACUUCGUG